rnacentral:lncRNA from 1 species
AGUCACUUGGUCGGGCACAGCGUAAUUCUUGACUGUGGAUUUUGUGAACUCCUCUUAUAAAAUGGUACAAUUACUACAGGUCAUGAACAUCAAAUGCCACUAACACUUCCAGCUGUGACCACGGAAUAGCCUCCCAACAGAAGUACUGCAACAUGGUACAACAGUGAACUUUUGGCUAGCAGAAUAAAUCUCCUGAGUGAAGAGGCAAAGUCUCUUCCAGAGUGGCAGCAAGUAAAAAGUUUUAUGGUUGCCGAUGAAAAAGAAGCUUUUUCCUAAAGCCCCAACAACUUAGCAAAGGACUUCGAAUUGUUUUCUCUGGUCACAUGCCACAUUUUUCAAGAACACCGCGUGAUUAAGUCCUUUAAAUAAUGCAGCACGUCGGGGUAUCCACAAUAAAUGCUUAAGAGUGGCAACUCUGUC